CUAUGUAACUAGUGAUAGGACUAGAGGGAAUGGUCUCAAGUUACACCAGCAAAGAUUCUGGUUGGACAUUAAGAAAACCUUCUCUGAAAGAGUUGUCAGGAGUUGGAACAGGCUUCUGAGGGAGGUGGUGGAGCCAGUGUCCCUCAAGGUGUUCAAGAAACAUUUAGAUGUUUAAAACCUGGACAGGCCUGAGAGGUUGGACAUGUCAAACUCAUGAACUUCAACAACACCAAGUGCAAGGUCCUGUACUUGGGUUGGGGCAAUCUCAAGCACAGAUACAGGUUGGGCAGAGAAUGGCUUGAGAGCAGCCCUGAGGAGAAGGAGCAUUGAUUGAUGAGAGAUACAAAAGAACUGUCAAUGUGCACCUGCAGCCCAGAAGACUAACUAUAUCCUGAGUUGCAUCAAGAGAAGUAUGACCAACAGGUCUAGGUCUAUGAUUCCUCCCCUCUACUCUGCUCUUGUGAGACCCCACCUGGACUAUUAUGACCAGUUCUGGAGUCCCCAACACAAGAAAGACAUGGAGUUGUUGGAGUAGAUCCAGAGGAGGGCCAUAAAGAUGAUCAGAGGAAUAUAGCACCUCCCCUAUGAGGACAGGCUGAGAGAGCUGGGGUUCUUCAGCCUCAAGAAGAGAAGGCUCCGAGGAGACCUUACAGCAGUAUUCCAGGUUCCUGCAAGAAAGAAUAUACCUGAGGGAUGGCAUUAUGAAGACACAUACGUGAUUGUCUGGCACGAAAGUAAGGGAACAUUCACCACUUCCUCCCAAGUAAAACAAUCAAUUUUCACCAUCUUUCUGGAAAUGUCACUACCCUUGCCAACUGAGAGCAUUCCUCUCGUCAAAAGAAAAAGAGCAGCAUGCAGGUCUCAGGUUGUGAGGAAUCUAUUGUCAGAAAACCUCUUCUUCAUGAGGAAUCUGUCAUCAGAAACCUUCUUCUUGUUCUUCUGCCCACUUGGCUGGCAUUCCUGGAUGCUUCAUGUGCAGCACCCCCUGAGAUGGCUAUCUCCCUCAAAAUAAGCCCACACAAAAGACUGCCUCCUGGCCAUUAAGCUCUGCUUAUAUCUCUCUGUUGCCCCUGGCCUUGUCCAUCUGUGUCCCUCAGACAAAGGAUUUCUCAACAUUUGAUCAGGACUUGCUUGGACUUGUUCAUCGGUGUCCCUCAGCAAGCUUUGAGACGAUGAUGUAAAAGAAUAAUCUCCUACACAAACUCAUAACUGAGGAGAUCUAGGGUAAAUAUACACAUGAAUAAUAUUUUGAGCACCUUAGUAUCAGGUUCAGCUUAACAAGUCAAAAGGUCUGAAUUUAGAAAGAUUGUUUACAAGAUAGAGUUGAAAAUUUUCAAAAUAUUCAAGAAAAAAACUGUGUUGAUGGAGAAGGGAAACCAAAAAGAAAUCAUACAGAGCAACUAGUAUAUUUUUGUAUACAUUUUUGUCAAAUAAACUAAAGAUCCAAAUUAGGUAAGAACAAGUAAGAAACGCUUACUUUACUACAUUGUCUAGAGCUAAAGUAAGUGAAUUCUAGCUUCAGAGCAUUUCAGCAUUUUGUUCAGAUUUUCUAUAUCCUUUCCUAAUUGCUUCAUGCAAUUUCUCAAAAAAUUUUGUCACUCUCAGAAAAGUUUAUUAUUUUCACUACCUUUCUUUCAUACCUUCUUAUCCCUGAGUUCUGUAAACUACUUUUCUAUGGUCAUUUCUUUCCAUCUUUUGCAUUCACCAUUGCUUUUGCUUUCCUUCUCCACUUCCUCUUCUUUUCAUUCAGUGUUACCUUUCUGUUGCAUGUUCAUUAGGGUUGAAACACAUCUGUAUUAUUACAUUCCUUGGCAAAUCAGGCUGUCUCUUAAUUAGUCUACCAUUACAGUAAUAAAUAAAAACUAGUAAUAAUAAACAUUAAUAAUAGGAGUUAGAAUGUGAGAAAUAAUGCUUGUUGUCCAGAUAUCUGAAUGGUUUGCUUAGCCAUUCUGUGUUCUAAUGGUGUAAGCAAGUUAAUAUAAAGAUUGUCAUUCAGUGUCUAAAAAUAUGCUCUUUCCAUUUUUGCAACAAGAAAGGCAGAAUCAAAAUAUUUUAUUCUAACAGUUAAAUAAUUUACUUGUUGCAUAGUAAACGUUUAAGCAAUUUCAUUUCCUCAUAGUUAAUCAGUUCAAAUAGUUAAUCAGCUUUUCCAUUUGAAGCACCACAUUAACAGUACAUAUAACUUAUAUUGUUAAGAAUGUCCAACAUGCUCAUGAAAUUUAAACAUUUUAAAAUAAGCAUAUGCACAUUUCUUCACCAGAUUUUUGUGGAAAGGGUGUAAAUACCUACAUUUAAAUAUAUGUUUAAAAACAGGUGUAUAUGUAUCCUUAUUAUGUUUUGUGUUUGCAUAUGAAUGUAUCUAUUUGAUUACUGUUUUUCAUUCCUUUACACAUUCUUGUUCUUUAUGACCUAUAAUUUCUUUCUGGCAAUAAAGCAGCAAGUGUCAACACCUUCAU
ensembl:lncRNA